GAGCUGUUCCUAUUCGGCCAAACGUGUGACAGCCUAGUUCUGAAGAUUGCUGCAGUCUGGAGUCUAGUAUUUGCGAACCCAAGAGAGCCAAGAAAGGGUCCUUUACUCAAAGCUGCAAGAAGAAGGAAAAUAAAAACCCCAAAGUUAAGUAUCACCAUCCAGCUGGCACAUGUGCUUAGGCCACAACUGGCUUUGGCAAGUCCUCAUCCUCGAGGCCUCCAGUGGCUCUGAAAUUCUCACCACAAGAAAAUCAUGGGUUUUAAGACACAAGAAUUAAAGAACACAUUAAUGUAAUUUUGGUGCAGGAGCAUUUAGAGAAAUGUGUGUUUGUCUUUGAAGGUUGGCUAACUUUGGAAAUUCUUCAGACCUGUAAUGGGGCUAUUUGCCUGGGAGUUGGUUCUACUGUUCCUGAAGAGACGGCAAUAUUAACCAUCCCCAAAGUGCAGCAUUGAGCCUUUCCCCUUCCCACUACCCCAUACUCAGAAGGAG
rnacentral:lncRNA from 10 species